GUGUUCGCUCCGGCAGCACAUAUAUUAAAAUUGGAACGAUACAGAGAAGAUUAGCAUGGCCCGUGUGCAAGGAUGAUACACAAAUUCGUGAAGCGUUACAUAUUUUA
ensembl:snRNA U6 U6 spliceosomal RNA